UACGGGGGGAGCAAGCGUUGUUCGGAUUUACUGGGCGUAAAGGGCGCGUAGGCGGCCACCGCAAGUCGACUGUGAAAUCUCCGGGCUUAACCCGGAAAGGUCAGCCGAUACUGCGGGGCUAGAGUGCAGAAGGGGCAACUGGAAUUCUCGGUGUAGCGGUGAAAUGCGUAGAGAUCGUGAGGAAGACCAGUGGCGAAGGCGGGUCUCUGGACAGUUCCUGACACUGAGACACGAAGGCCAGGGGAGCAAACGGG
rnacentral:rRNA from 1 species